rnacentral:piRNA from 1 species
UCAAUGGUGGUUGCUACAAUGUCUCCCUGU